rnacentral:rRNA from 1 species
UAGUCCACGCCGUAAACGAUGAUCACUAGAUAUUGGCUUCGGUCAGUGUCAAAGCGAAAGUAUUAAGUGAUCCACCUGGGGAGUACGUCGGCAACGAUGAAACUCAAAGGAAUUGACGGGGGCCCGCACAAGCGGUGGAGCAUGUGGUUUAAUUCGAUGAUACGCGAGGAACCUUACCAGGGCUUAAAUGCAUAAUGACAACUCCCGAAAGGGAGCGUUCUUCGGACAGAAUGCAAGGUGCUGCAUGGUUGUCGUCAGCUCGUGCCGUGAGGUGUUGGGUUAAGUCCCGUAACGAGCGCAACCCCUAUCUUUAGUUGCCAGCGGGUAAUGCCGGGGACUCUAAAGAAACUGCCAGCGCAAGCUGUGAGGAAGGUGGGGACGACGUCAAAUCAUCACGGCCCUUACGCCCUGGGCUACACACGUGCUACAAUGGUGAGUACAGAGUGCAUAUAGCCGCCUGGUGACAGGUAGCAAAUCACUAAAUCUCAUCUCAGUUCGGAUUG